rnacentral:rRNA from 2 species
UAAGGAAUAUUGCGCAAUGGGGGAAACCCUGACGCAGCAACGCCGCGUGGGCGACGAAGGUCUUCGGAUCGUAAAGCCCUUUUCUGGGGGACGAGUAAGGACGGUACCUCAGGAAUAAGUCCCGGCUAACUACGUGCCAGCAGCCGCGGGAAAACGUAGGAGGCGAGCGUUAUCCGGAUUUACUGGGCGUAAAGCGCGUGCAGGCGGUCAUGCAAGUUGGGCGUGAAAUCUCCUGGCUUAACUGGGAGGGGUCGUUCAAGACUGUGUGACUUGAGUGCAGGAGAGGGAAGCGGAAUUCCUGGUGUAGCGGUAAUAUGCGCAGAUAUCAGGAGGAACAUCCGUGGCGAAGGCGGCUUCCUGGCCUGUAACUGACGCUCAGACGCGAAAGCUAGGGUAGCGAACGGG